UCGGAAGCAGUAUGUUGGCAGCUGAAGGAAAUAAGUGCCUUGCUGUUAAAAAUAGUUAAUUCUUCUUUUCCACAUCAACUGGAAGAGAACUUUGCAAGUUCGUGUAGAAUAAUGGUUUGUCAAAAGAAGUACCAGUCAGAGGGGAUGAAGAUCAAUGUGUAAGAGACUUUCAGAAAACCUUUUGAGCCAGAACUCCCAUAUUUGCUUCCAGGAACACUGCAUUUCUGGCAAACAAAGAAGCAUUAGCUUCUUAAUUUAAAUUUGGGCUGUCUCAGUUCCCAUGCUACAAAAACAUGCAGGCAGCAUGGAGGAGACCCCACAGGCAGAAAAACUGAGGCCUCCUGCUAAAGCCAGCGUGAACAUGUCAUGAGAAUGAGCCAACUUAGAAGCAGCUCCUUAAACCUCAGCCAGAUGUAAGGUGACUGCAUCCCUGCCUGGUCUGACUGCAGAUGUGUGGUUGUUGACAGCCAGAACCUGAAUUUCUGGCUUUCAGAAACUGAAAGAUUGUAGCUGGUUAUUGUUUUAAACUACAGUGUCUCCUUGGUACUUGUUAAUUGGUUCUGCAGGCAUAAGGAAUAUCACAAAUAAAGAGCAAUAAAUAUAUUACUUCUGCUGGAAAGGGUAUUGAGUCACGAAUAGCCACUCACAAAUUCUAACUUUCACAAUGAGUACAGAACAAAGAUGAGCAAUAUUUUCACGUCCAGAUGCAUAUAGUACCAAAUUUGAUGAGUGUCAAGGUAUGACUAAUUUUGGGGUGAUACACCAUACAACAAUAGGUAACUAAUACAGAUUUUGAUAAAAGUGUAUUAGCAGAAGAAAAAAAGUGGAAAAAAAAAAAAAAGGAAAAACAAAUUACAAGUGGACUGGAGCUGACCCUAAAGGGAGAGAAAGAAAAAGAUUUCAAAGACUGUACUCGAAAAGCCUACAGAGUUCUGGAGGGACUGGAUGAAAUAUGAUCCUGUCAAGGAAAAUUUUUGGUGGAAGCUAGUCAAGAAGUAAGGAAAAUAGUUUUUGGAAACCAGAGGAGAGGGAAUUCUUGUCAAGUGGUGAUAGGAAGUUUAGUGACACUGUCACUUGUGGUAAUAUGGAAAGUGCACCAAAACAAACACAAAUUAGUUAUCUUGUUAGGAGAUUUCUAGGCAUAGUGUUGAAGGGGCUUCCUCAUCUCUUCUUGCUGCUUAGAGUAAAAUGGAAGAGGAGAGACAAGCUGAAAAAAAGUAUAAUUCCUAAAACAGACCUGAAGGGUUUGAAAACUCCUGCUGUCUUUACAUGACAAACUACUAAAACGAAGAAGUUUGCUUUGGGACAAAGAUCAAGUCCAGGGCAUUCUCAAGAAUGCACAGUGUAAAGGAGAAGAUGAGAAUAUGAAUAUAAAAGUAUAUUUUUGAAGAGGUUGAUUAAAGAAUAUUUGGUGAGACAAAAUGCUCUGUAAAGAAUUUAAGCAUGUACAACCUUAUAAGGGGUCCUGAACC